rnacentral:rRNA from 1 species
GGACUACAGGGGUAUCUAAUCCCGUUUGCUACCCACGCUUUCGCGCAUCAGCGUCAGUACCGGUCCAGAGGGCCGCCUUCGCCACCGGUGUUCCUCCCAAUAUCUACGCAUUUCACCGCUACACUGGGAAUUCCACCCUCCUCUCCCGGACUCGAGCCCCGCAGUUUCUUCCGCACGUCCUCAGUUGAGCCGAGGGAUUUCACGGAAGACACGCAGGGCCGCCUACGCGCCCUUUACGCCCAAUAAUUCCGAAUAACGCUAGCCCCCUCUGUAUUACCGCGGCUGCUGGCAC